AUGGCAGAGGUGGCGCUGGCUCUGGCUGGCGUACGGGCUGGCCUACAGUUAGUGGUAUCGCCGAUCUUGAAGAAGCUCCUAGCUGACCCUGCAAGGUGUCUUGGUGUGGACAUGGUGAGUGAGCUCCAUGAACUGAAGACCAACAUCAUGCCACAGUUCACACUACUGGUUGAGGCAGCUAACAAAGGCCCACACAGGCCAAUGUUAGACAACUGGGUCCAGCAGCUCAAAGACACCUUUUGUAAAGCUGAGGACCUGCUAGACGAGCAUGAGUACAACAUCCUCAAGCACAAAGCAGAGAGUGGGAAGGAUUCUUUGAUAGAACAUGAAUCUUCCAGUGGUACUAUUAUGAAGCAUGUGCAUACUGUGUCGAGCAGGCUGUCCAAUCUGCGUCCAAAGAACAAAAAGCUACUCGACCAGCUGAAGGAUCUGAAGGCCAUCCUGGCAAAAGCCAAGGAUUUCCGUGAACUUCUCUGCUUACCUGCUGGUCGUGGUGCUGAGGCCUUCGCAGUACCGGCAUCGGUUAUUCCAGUUGAUACAUCAUUUGCACCUCUGAAAGUGAUUGGUCGUGACAAGGAUCGGGACGAUAUUUUUGAUCUUCUUACGAAGCCAAUUGCUGUUGAGUCUGAUGCAAGUAGGUAUUCUGGUCUAGCCAUUGUUGGACUUGGAGGCAUGGGAAAAUCCACCUUGGCACAGUAUGUUUACAAUGACAAGAGGGUAAAAGAACAUUUUGAGGUCAGGAUGUGGGUCUGCAUCUCGCGCAAACUUGAUCUCAGUGGCCAUACACGGUUGAUUAUUGAAUCAGCAAAAGGAGGGCAGUGUCCAUCUGUUGAUAACCUUGAUACUCUACAAUGCAUAUUGAGGGACAUACUGGAAAAAUCAAAGAGAUACCUUCUUGUGUUGGACGACGAUGUCUGGUUUGAAGAGAACACCAAUGAGAUGGAGUGGGAAAAACUAUUGUCUCCUCUAAUAUCUCAACAGACGGGAAGCAAAGUUUUGGUAACUUCUCGAUCAAAUAUACUCCCAGCUCCUCUUUGUUGUAAUGAGAUUAUUCGUUUGAAAGACAUGGAAGAUACCGAUAUCCUAGCACUCUUCAAGGACAAUGCCUUUUCUGGUGCAGUAGUCGGAGACCAGAAGGUGCGUGAGAAGCUAGAAACUAUUGCAGAGAAGCUUGCUAGAAGACUUGGAAGAUCUCCUCUGGCAGCAAAAACUGUGGGUUCACGGCUGAGCAGGAAAAAGGAUAAGGCUGCAUGGGAAAAUGUUCUGAGCACUUUUGUGGAGUUACGAGAAAUUAGAUCCAAGUCUGCAGAGGUGCUUCCUAUAUUGCAGUUUAUAUCCAAAAGGCCACUUGUAUUCAAUUAA
rnacentral:rRNA from 1 species